CGGACGAGAUGUCACUAGACUGUUGGGGGCUUCGUGGCCUUGCGUAGCGCAGCUCACGCGCUGAAGUUGACCGCCUGGGGAGUACGGUCGCACGAUAAAGACUCUCAGGAGUUGACGGGGGCCCCCACACGCGGUGGAUAAUGUGGAUUUUUUCUCUGCACCGCGAAAAAACUUAUCUACGCUUGACAUGUCUGGAAUGCCUAACAGAUUUGGCAUUGCUCCCUCGAGAACCGGAACACAGGUGCUGCAUGGCUGUCGUCAGCUCGUGUCGUGAGAUGUUGGGUUAAGUCCCGCAACGAGCGCAACCCUUGUCAUUAGUUGCUACCAAAGGGCACUCUAAUGAGACUGCCGGUGACAAACCGGAGGAAGGUGGGGAUGACGUCAAGUCCUCAUGGCCCUUAUGGGUAGGGCUUCACACGUCAUACAAUGGUCGGGACAGAGGGUCGCCAACCCGCGAGGGGGAGCCAAUCCCAGAAACCCGAUCGUAUUCCGGAUCGCAGUCUGCAACUCGACUGCCUGAAGUCUGAAUCGCUAGUAAUCGCGGAUCACCAUGUCGCGGUGAAUACGUUCCCGGGUCUUGUACACACCGCCCGUCACACCAUGGGAGUGGGUUUUACCAUAACUACUUAGCCUAACCGCAAGGGGGGCGA
rnacentral:rRNA from 1 species